CUGUGCUGCAGUCCAGGCAAGCGGAUAGGAAGGGAAGAUAAGAGUGGUAUGUCAGCGUGGAGAAAAGAAACUAUAGCACACAGCACCCCAGCUUCCUCAUGGCAGGAGAUGGCCAUGCAGAGCAUAACAUGCAGUGGGAGCCAGGGAUGCUGAAAUGGUGGAGGUAGAAGAUAGAUGUUUGUGAACUGAGCAUGCAGAAGGGAGAGGAAAGUUCAGCUUGUUGGAGGAUCAGUUUCUGAUCCAGCACUGUGGCAGUAAUUUCUUCCUCAAGUCCAAGUUCCAUUGUCACCACACCUGGCAUUUGAGGUGGUGAGGUGUGAUACAUGCCAUUAGAACAGCAUGGCCCAGCGGUUAGCUUGCUGCAAUCAGGAUCAUCUGACGGAAGCCAAAUCCAUGGAGUCAAGCACUGUCAUCAGGACUGCAGCCAGGAGCUGAGGAAAGACACUGGUUUCACUAGUCCACUUGUUUGAUGCUAUUCCUGCUAAUUUUUGUCACCUCUGCCGUCUCUGGACACCACCAGACACUGAGGAGGCCACCUAAAACAAAGGUAAGAGCACAGGGAGGAGGACAUCCAGUAGAGCCAGUCUGCACUAGUGCCUAGAUCAAAUAGUAGCCAUGCAACCCCAGAAGGUAGCUGAAAACAAGGGAUUGUCACAGUGUGGGUGUGUUUCCAUUAAGUAGUUUAGACUUAGUUCUUGGGCGUACAGUCCUUAAUAUUCUGAGCAGUGAUUUGGAGUACACAAUAAAAUUGAGACUGAUGAGUUGUUGAGGUGACA
rnacentral:lncRNA from 1 species